GACGAGGGAUCCAAGCGUUGUUCGGAAUCAUUGGGCGUAAAGCGGGUGCAUGUGGCUUUGUAAGUCAGGUGUGAAAUCCCAGGGCUCAACCCUGGAAGUGCAUUUGAUACUGCGAAGCUUGAGUGCUAGAGAGGUAAGUAGAAUACCUGGUGUAGUGGUGAAAUACGUAGAUAUCAGGUGGAAUACCGGAGGCGAAGGCGGCUUACUGGCUAGACACUGACACUCAGACCCGAAAGCGUGGGGAUCAAACAGG
rnacentral:rRNA from 1 species